GCCGCGAGGACGGUGGAAAGGCAGGGAGCGUGUGAUGUCCUCGUCGCCCGAGAGCUUGAGCUGCUGGGUUUCGGGAGGCCACGCUGGCCCUCUUGGGACGGCCAAGCAGGUCGGAGAGUUCAGUCGUGUUUGCACACGCGCUGGUCGAGUCCCGUUGUUGGCGAUGGAGAGAUCAAGGACCUGAUUUAUGAAAAAAGAGGUUCUGCAAUGGGUAGAUUCCUGUGAAUCCAUUGGUCCUGCUACUCCCACAGCCUCCAUAAGCUGCCGGCCUGCUGGAGCAAUGAAAUGGCCUCCAAGAAACAUAGCUGAAGCAACACUUUGGAUGGACGUGAUACCCUACAAAGGAGAUGUGGGGAGACUAUUGAGAAACCAUAAAAAAGAAAAGAAGAACUCUGGUUUCUGGUUCAGCCUGUGGGGAGCUUGGAGUUUCAUUUUGUCCCAACAACAGGAAAAACGCUGAACAAACUGAAAAAUUAACAACUCUUCUUAGAUCCAUUAGAGAAGUGAGAGGUUGUGUGUGGAAGCAGAAGCUCCAGGGUGAACGCCUGCUCAAGACAUAUCUCGGGCUCUUCCUUAGUGCUCACCAAACGCUCUGAGAGGUCUCUAUUUCAUCACCGAGGAAGACGCUGUAACAACACCUGGUGCAGUUGCCAUCCUGAGAAGGAGCAAACCGGGCAGGAGUUGCUUUCUUCCCAUAAAGAAGCACAAAGGCAGAAUAAUCCACAGAUCCAGACCAGAAGUCUUGUGAUGGUUUCUCAGGGAAGAGACUGCCCCGGGGCGCUCCGGCCUCUCCCGCCUCCCUGCCGCUCCCGGCUCUCGGCAGAAUUUAGCAGAUUCAUCACUGUGCUCCAUCCUAGGCUCUGCUAUUUUUAGCUCUGUUGACUUCCCAACCGUAGGCAGAUAACCAUGCGGUAGGCUAAGCACCUGGCAGGUGGGCAAGGGCACCCCCGGCAGAAGGAGAGGACGGCUCGCCCCGGGGGAAGGAGGGCCUGGUGUCUCAGGCAGGAAGGAUUUAGAGUAGCCGAGACCAAGCCUGCGCCCCCCCCCCCGGGGGGACUCCA